UGGGAUGUAGCUCAGUGGUAGAGUAUUUAUCUAGUAUGUACAAGGCCCCAAAUUUAAUUCUUAGUACUCCAA
rnacentral:tRNA from 1 species